CUCAAUCUCACACACCAUCUCCAUAUGCAAGUGAUUUGUUUCCAUUGUUGUGUUCAAGCGCUUUGGCUUGUCAGCUUAUUAUGGGUGUUUUCAAACACUGGUUUUGGAUGGAUAAUAGAUCAUAAAGCCCCGUGUUUGCAUUCUUCAACAUCAUCUGGGUGUUGGGCUACUCUAAAUUCUUUGAAAAUCGUUUUAAUAAUGUGGGUGUAAUGGUAAAAGAAGAUCAACACAAGGAGUCCUGUUUCAAAACAAUUCUUCCUGUUUUUUUUUUCAUUAUUCCUCUCUUGAUUCAUUGGACAAUGCUUAUUUUCUAUUCCAACUAUUUUGAUUCCAUGGCUAAGACACGUGGUAAACAACACUUAUAUGGAUGGAUUUUGUGGAACAGGGGGCAUCAGUGGAAUUGCUACAUCUUGAAUAGCGUUGAAAGAUUAGCAUCAGCGGUUCUCCGAUUCCUUGGCUUUCAGAAUAGUAUGGCAAAGGUUGCUACGGCUGGUCCUUUAUCUUCUGACUCUUCGUUUUGGUGGGGGUUCUGGGAAGGUGGGGGCAGGAGUUAAAAGGAAGACACCAUCGGAAUUGAGAGGAGAGCAGUUAAAACAAAGGAACGUUAUAGAGCUUGUAGAUGAAUCUCCAGCUCCUUUGCUUGGUUCUACAAAGAACACAAUUGAGCUCAAGAAACAAGAUGCAUUCGAAGUUCCAAGAUGCAUUGACACCCGUAUGGAUGGAGUUUUUCCUGCCAAAAAGUCUAGGUUUAGGAUGCUUUCUGGAAAAGAAAAUGCUAAGCUGCGCCAGCUGGCUGCUUGAAGAAUAUCUGUGUUUCUUUGAAUUCAGUUGUCAAGAGUCAUCCACAACUUUCAUGUCCAGAGAAUACUGUGGUUUCAGCUGCAGUUUCCAAAGAUGGUACAAGGCAAGAUUGUGAAUAUGCUGAAAAGUGCAGUCAAAGCACAUUUUGUAGUGUGGCUGAAUUAUCACUUGGUAGUGAGAGGAUAUCUGAAAUGGCUGUUGUUGAUAUGGAUAAAGCAUUAAAAGGCCUGGUUGCCUGUGAACCCCGUGCUUUUUCUGGUUUAGCUGCUGAUUCUUCUGAAAAGUUCGACAAUUUUACUUCAAUCUCUUCUGGCCAUUUCUGCUCUGAAUUUCAUAUUCCUGGGCAGAAGGCCCCACUGGAUUUUACAUUAAAAACUAAUAUGCAGAUAGUGUCUUCUUCCUCUGUGAACUGGUUUCAUAGAUUGAACAUGUCUGCCACUUAGAAUGGUACAACCCUAUCUACACCUCAAUUUGGUUGUUCCAAAGAUCAAAAUAUUAGCUGCUCCUCUGGGAUCACUUCCCCUGCCCAAAUAUUCAAUUAUAGAGCUUUGCACUCAUAGGUGCACCCUCAGUCUUCUCUACCACCUUCUGUCAUAUCAGCAUGGACCUUAUCUGCUGCAGAUGGAGUGGAAACGGAUUUCUUAAUCAAAUGACAACUAGCAUGGGAAGACUCAUUUCGAAGUCUCUAUCACAUGCUUAGAAAGAAUAUCUGUAAUAUCUUCUAUGUUUGUACUUCACAAUUUGUGGUGGUGUUUGCUGGUGGUGACGGCUCAAGAGGAAAGAAACAGUCCUCUAAUGCUUAUAUCUCCCUGUCAACAAGAGGCUUAAGGUCAUUGUUGAGGGAACAUGUAAGAUGUAUCUCUUUUAUCUUUUAAAAUUUGCAUGGAUAGGAAGUUUUUUUUUUCUUAAUGGAACAUGUUCAUAAACAAUUUUCAUGUGGAAAAUAUGUUUUUUCUCACUCUAAAUGCUAAUUCGAGUUUUUUCUGCUUGAAUAUAAAAAUUAGUUCCUGAAAUAAGAUAUUACUUUUUUUUUUUGCACUUGGUAUUAACUGAGAUAGUGGCAUUGAAAUAGAAAUCAUGGGGGUGCUUAUUUUGACUUAAAACCUGGAAAUAGUUGCUGCUUCUUUGCUAGAGGUUUAAAUAUGAGGUUCAUAAAAUUGUAACAGAAAUGAGUGCAGUGAUAAAAUAUUUUGUGUUCUUUCUGCAAACUUCUAAGCUAAUCUGGGAAUGAUAAUUUUAAACCAUUCUUGUGGAAUUAAGAUGAUUACCAAAUUUAUUGAUUUUGAGAAUGUUGAUAUUUAUUAAAGACCUUGAUCUGCUGACCAAGUGGCUAACUGUUAGAUCAUUAGAGAUAAUUUAUCAGGGACCUUGAUUGGCUGGCCAGAUGGUUUACUGUGUUUGACUUUUACCAACUAAAAAAAAAAACUGUCAUCCUUGAUUUUAAUGAGGCAUUGACUGCUCUAUAUUUUUGGUUUUUCUCAUAAUUUUGUCUUAUAUAGUAGGCCAACAAUGUAUAUCAAGUUAAGUUGACUUAAGCUAAAGCCUUAAUGUUCCACUGGACAUGCAACCUUCUCUUGCUUGUACUUGGCUCAAUAAUGGGGAUUAAACAAGCAAUGAGGUUCGAACUUAUGGCCCCUUAGAAACCAAAGCUCUUGUACAAUAUUAUGCUGACUUGGAGUAAAAUCCUAACUGUCUUCUCAUUUUUUAUUUUGUAAGUUCUCGAUUCAUAUAAGAAAAUGAAAGAAAAUUUUAAUCAAUAAAGAAAUUUCUAUAUUUAGGUAAGGAUGCAUGAGACUAUGUGUGACAGGCGGUGAUACCUGGAUUCUCAAUUUUGCUGAAAGUAACCUUGUUGACAAAAAUGACAUGGGUAUUGUUGUGGGAUCCUCAUGGGAUAUAUUAUUAUUAUUUUUACUUGGGACUGGAUAAUUGUCAGUAAUUUUUAAAGUAAAAUUUUUUGGAACUUGGGUCUUUAAGAGAUGAAUUAAAACUAAAAAAAAGGAAUUGAGUGUUGUUGAGGAGAUUCAAGGAUAAGAGAAAAAAAAGGGCUUUUAUGAGGAUAUUUAAAGAUAAAAAAAAAGGGUCUACCUGGGCAGGUGGGGUGAUAGAAAACAGGUCUCUUGGUACUUCAUUAGCAUAAAUUUGUUACUUUUAGAAUAAUAACAUUUAAAGAGAUGAUAAAUCAAAACAAAGGUAAUAAAAUAAAAGUAAAGGGAUGUAUAUGGAUAAAUAAUAAAAAAUAUAUUGAUAUAAAAUAAAAUUAGUGAAGGAAAUAUGUAUGCAAAUUGUAUAUUAA